GUGUCAGCAGCCGCGGUAAUACGUAGGGUGCAAGCGUUAUCCGGAUCCACUGGGUUUAAAGGGUGCGUAGGUGGGCAGGUAAGUCAGUGGUGAAAUCUCCGGGCUUAACUCGGAAACUGCCAUUGAUACUAUCUUUCUUGAAUACCGUGGAGGCCAGCGGAAUAUGUCAUGUAGCGGUGAAAUGCUUAGAUAUGACCUAGAACACCAAUUGCGAAGGCAGCUGGCUACACGAAUAUUGACACUGAUGCACGAAAGCGUGGGGAUCAAACAGGAUUAGAUACCCCGGUAGUCC
rnacentral:rRNA from 1 species